rnacentral:rRNA from 1 species
CCCUUAGAUGUUCUGGGCUGCACGCGCGCUACACUGACAUACUCAGCAAGUUUCCUUUCCCGAAAGGGUUGGGUAAUCUUGUUAGUGUAUGUCGUGAUGGGGAUAGAAUAUUGUAAUUAUUGCUCUUUAACGAGGAAUUCCUAGUAAGCGCAAGUCAACAGCUUGCGCUGAUUACGUCCCUGCCCUUUGUACACACCGCCCGUCGCUACUACCGAUUGAAUGAUUUAGUGAGGACUUCGGACUGGGACCGAUGCGGCUUUCGGGCUGCGUCGGUAUUCUGGAAAGAUGUCCAAACUGUAUCAUUUAGAGGAAGUAAAAGUCGUAACA